AUAGGUUUCAAGAAGAAAACUUUGUUUCUUGUGUUUCUAUUUAUGCUCUUACCUUUUCAAGAGUCAAUCAGAGUAUUACAAUCAUAAAGUGGAAGCAAACUGAGCAGCUAACACAGACCUCUCUUCACAAGCUCAUCUCAGAAAUGAACAUGUUUCAAUUUGGAGAAAGCAGAUGCAAAUCCUUUGAAAUCUGUGUCCAGCAGCAUUAGUUAAGAAAAGCAACUAUGGC
rnacentral:lncRNA from 12 species